GCGGCAGGUCGCGUCUCUUCCUCGCCCGAGGGAAAGGCGAGGUCGGAAGCUAUUGCGCCCCGAACGGAAGCCAAACUGCUUGGACGCUAGAACCCUCCCCCUUUACCGGAACCAUCGCAUCUUCCAACGGAAACGUCUUGCCAAAAGGGCUUCUGCCUCUCCAAUUAACUGUCACUUGCCUCCUGACCCCUCCAUCUUUGCUCUUUCUGGAAGUGGAAGGACUUUUGGACACCUCACUCCUAGUCCUGUGUGUCAUCUUGAAUGAUUGCUUCUCUCUGGGGCUCAAUUUUCUCAUUUGACAACUUGGUCUGGCAAUUUCUGCCUUGCCUAAGCUCUGAUCCUACCAACACUGGAGCCAGAUGACCUCACCUACAAACUCUGUGAGGCAGGUUACUAACCUCUCUGUACCUUGGAUCCCAUCUGAAAAAAUGGGAAGAAUAGUGGUAACAAACUCAUAGAGCUGCUACAAGAUUAAAUGAGAUGAUAUAAGUAAAGUGAAUAAGCAGACCUGUUAUUGGAUAGUGCUAUCUGCAUCUCCAACCCAAACUUUCUCCUGAGCACCAGAAACUGGCCUCCUGAAUGUCCCCUCCUGGAGGCUGCACAGACAUCUUAAGCCUGUCUGUGAUGCAAAACAGGAUGCAUCACCUACUCCUGGAAACCUCCCAAACAAGAUUCCUCUCUUCCUGUGUUUCCUCGUCAUGUGGAUGAUAAGCGACACUGUCAUGCAUGCCAUUAUUUUGGUUUUGAACUUUAUUCUAAGAGUGAUGGGAGGUCUGAGGAUAUAGAUUACUUGCCUAGCAUGUGCAAAACCCUGGGUCCAGAUCCUCAGUAU